UUGAACAGUCUUCUGGAGAAAAAACAAAUAUUUGGAAGAUAAAAGAAGAAAAGAUAAAUGAGCAGAAAUGUAGGCAGGUCCUGUGGUUCAGUCAAGGAACUGAAACCAAAAAUAACUCGGAGACCCAGGAUAAGCCAAACUGAAUUUGGGGACUUGAAUCCUCAGUCCCACCAGAGUCUGUGGAAGGUCAUCUUAAGGCCAUACUGUGACUUUACUGAAUGUGACUACCCAUUCAGCAGCCUAUGAGGCAGGAGUCGCCAGGCUGAGGUCCCCAGGCUGAGUCCCCAAGCUUCAGUAGUUUGUCUGAUGCCCCCACCCAAAUACCACGCAUACCGUCAUGUGCUGAUGCAAAACGGCAUUUGUGAGCAGUCUCAACUUGGUUUCAAUCACGGAUUUCACGAAAGGAACACUUUAAAAUUGGAUUUGAACUCCACAGCUCCCAGGAUAGGGCAGAGCUGGAUGGAAACAUCUGGAGAUGUACCCGGGAACAGGGCCCACCAUGUUCCUCGGGAGGAAAUCGAGGCGGCAAGAUUGACGCCCAAGGACUCAUCCAGCCAGUUGACACAAGCCUAGAACCUUCCACCUGACUUCCAACCAAUACUCUUUCCAGCCCGGGCUGUCAUCACACGUGAUGUUUUGCUUCAUGUACAAAAUAAGGCCCCUCAGAACCUUUCCCGGAACUGGACCUUUGGACCUCAAAAUGGUUUAAUGCACUUUUGAGAAGGGAGAGCCACAAGGCCUCUAAGUGGUUUUGAUCAAGUUUGCCAAUAUUUACACCGUUGGAUAAUCUGCAUGAACUUCAUAAAUAAUGUAAAUUCCUACAAAGCGAGUUAACCGUGAGCUACGGUGGUCUUUCGAAAAAUCCAUGUUACACAAUCAUCCUGACAAAGUUAACAACUCGAUGGAAUACCGAAGGUAACCACUGAUUGCACUCGCUGCCAUUGACCAUUUUAAGUGUGACUAUUUUUAAAAUACUGUAUGCCUCAUUACGCUGGGCUCUGAAAAUGAGAAAUUUGCUUUAACUGCAUUGUUUUGAAUUGCUGAGAGAAGAAUCUAUCAACCACAAGGUGCCCUGCUGCUGAACUCAGCCAAAAAGCUGUUAAUAACCCCAGCAGAUGUUUCAGCUUUUUAGGCCAAUAGACUCCCUCUCUCCCUGCCCUCCCCUUUCUAGAAUCUGAUGCCAAUAUGACUGAACUCCAGUUUCUGUGGUUGCUGCCUCCGUGGCCGCCUCCACCAGAGUCAGUGAUACUAGAGCUGCUGAGGAAUUGAUUCUUUAAACAACCAGUCGCAACACAGCCCCAGCCCUUUAAGGUCAGAGCAUUAUUGCUUUUACCGUUAGAAGUUUAAAUCUUCAGGGGGGAAAUGAAGGUAAGGGCACCGAAUCCAUAGUCCUGUUCUGUCGUCUGCCUUCAUUGCCAGUCAUCUCAUUCCACUUGUUGUGGUUUGUCCCCACGCUCAGAGUCCAUUUCUCAGACUGAUCAGGGCAUUGGGCUUGCCGGGUAGAGGUCAUUAAUACAUCGAGUCCCCACCGGUCGCUGAGGGAUGUUGGGUUAGCAGCUUUACAAAGGGGGCCUCUGUGUGAUGUGCAGUUUGGGAUGGUUGUUUGCCUAAUACCGCAAGGCUCAGAAUGCCCUGACCUUAGCAGUUCUGCAAUAUUAGAAGUGUGUAUUAUAAAUACAGCUACAUCCCUGUGAGAUGGGUACAAUAUGAGGGCAUAUGGGGCCACGGCAAUCCCAGAUGGGGAUUUGUCAACUUCUCUGGACAAACCUUACGUCUUAACUUGAAAUUAAAUCUACAUUCCAAGGCUUUCCAAAUGAGAAGACAUUUUUUAAAAAGGGGAGGGGAAGAUGCUCCCCCUUCUCCCACUCGCCUGCCCGCCUCCCCAUACUCACUUAUUUCGGAAAGAGCGCUUUAAGGCACCCCAGUGACAGCAGGGUGACCAAGAAAACACAGGUGCACCACGUUUAUGGAACAUCACGUUGGCUAGGAACACAUCCGAACUGCGCAUCUAUACAUAUCACCAUGCAGAGAAUUGCCAUUUCAAAGGGGGAAAAAUUGAAAAGCAGAAUUAAGUUCAUAAAUACUUGGUUUCCUUAUUUUGAUGCAACACAAAGGCAGAAUAUCCAGGACCCUGUGGACCCCUAUUGUCAGCUUCAGCAUUCGCCAACCACAGUAAUUCAACCCCAAAAUCUCCGCUCUACACCACGCAGGCUAUAAAAAGAGAGGGAUGAACAUAUUUGUACACUGAGGGGAACAGCCAAUGGAGCAUCGGAGCAGAGCAGUGCUCAAGGAAUGUUUACAGCUAAGGAGGCUCCAUGGAGGAUUGCUUGAAGGACAUGAAGUCCAUCUGUCUCCCUAGAUAGUUUAGAUUAUAUCUCAAGGUCAAGAAAGAUCAGACAUACACCCCGAUUCUGUUUCUGUGGCUCUCCAGUCCCCACCACAAGGAGAGAGAGAGCGUUUCCUUGGGGACUCAGAAGUGACUUCUAUACUCCGGGAGGCUCUUGGGUAAGUAACUGCAGAGCCCUCUGAAUGGCUUUAUGAGUGCCUUGCUUUUAGAAGGAUGCAGGAAAAAAGUGUCCAAUC